AACGAACGCUGGCGGCAGGCUUAACACAUGCAAGUCGAACGCAUCGCAAGAUGAGUGGCAGACGGGUGAGUAACGCGUGGGAACAUACCCUUUUCUACGGAAUAGCUCUGGGAAACUGGAAUUAAUACCGUAUACGCCCUACGGGGGAAAGAUUUAUCGGGGAAGGAUUGGCCCGCGUUGGAUUAGCUAGUUGGUGGGGUAAAGGCCUACCAAGGCGACGAUCCAUAGCUGGUCUGAGAGGAUGAUCAGCCACAUUGGGACUGAGACACGUGCCAAAUUCCGACGGGAGGCCGCAGUGGGAAAUAUUGGACAAGGGGCGAAAGCCUGAUCCAGCCAUGCCGCGUGAGUGAUGACGGCCUUAGGGUUGUAAAGCUCUUUCACCGAUGAAGAUAAUGACGGUAGUCGGAGAAGAAGCCCCGGCUAACUUCUUGCCAGCCGCCGCCGUAAGAC
rnacentral:rRNA from 1 species